rnacentral:pre_miRNA from 1 species
CUGUGAAUUACAGGGCAUUUCACCUUUGGCACAAGGGCAAGCAGGAUUAGAAACUAGAAACCAUGCGUGCUUGCUAGAGCUGGAAAUGAUGCUGGUAGUGGUACUCUAGUUCGUGCUAGUUUCUGGCUUGUAGCAUUGCAUGAUUCAGAGAUCACAGAUCUCGUGCCAAAGGAGAAUUGCCAUGCGAUUUUGUC